rnacentral:tRNA from 1 species
GGUGGCUUAGUGGUUAAGAGCUUGGCUGCUAACCAAAAGGUCGGCAGUUCGAAUCCACCAGCCACUU